rnacentral:rRNA from 1 species
GACGAACGCUGGCGGCGUGCCUAAUACAUGCAAGUCGAACGCAGUGGGGACGGGUGAGUAACCCGUGGGUAACCUCCCAUCAGAGGGGAUAACACUUGGAAACAGGUGCUAAACCGAUACUGAUGGAUGGACCCGCGGUUCAUUAGCUAGUUGGUGAGGUAACGGCGCACCAAGGCCACGAGGCAUAGCCGGGCGGAGAGGGGGAUCGGCCAAACUGUGAAUGAGACACGGCCCAGACUCCUACGGGAGGAAGCAGGAGGGAAUCUUGGGAAAUGGACGAAAGUCUGACCGAGCAACGCAGCGUGAGUGAAGAAGGUUUUCGGACGGUAAAGCUCUGGUGUUAGAGAAGCGGUAUCUAACCAGAAAGCCACGGCUAACUACGUGCCAGCAGCCGCGGUAAUAC